rnacentral:rRNA from 1 species
AGAGUUUGAUCCUGGCUCAGGACGAACGCUGGCGGCGUGCCUAACACAUGCAAGUCGAACGGAGUUGUUUCUUCGGAAAUAACUUAGUGGCGAACGGGUGAGUAACGCGUGAGGAACCUACCUUUCAGUGGGGGACAACAGUUGGAAACGACUGCUAAUACCGCAUAACACAUUUGAGGGGCAUCCCUUGAAUGUCAAAGAUUUAUUGCUGAAAGAUGGCCUCGCGUCUGAUUAGCUAGUUGGUGGGGUAACGGCUCACCAAGGCGACGAUCAGUAGCCGGUCUGAGAGGAUGAACGGCCACAUUGGGACUGAGAUACGGCCCAGACUCCUACGGGAGGCAGCAGUGGGGAAUAUUGGGCAAUGGGGGAAACCCUGACCCAGCAACGCCGCGUGAAGGAAGAAGGCCUUCGGGUUGUAAACUUCUUUUACCAGGGACGAAGAACGUGACGGUACCUGGAGAAAAAGCAACGGCUAACUACGUGCCAGCAGCCGCGGUAAUACGUAGGUUGCAAGCGUUGUCCGGAUUUACUGGGUGUAAAGGGCGUGUAGGCGGAGAUGCAAGUUGGGAGUGAAAUCCCGGGGCUCAACCCCGGAACUGCUUUCAAAACUGCAUCCCUUGAGUAUCGGAGAGGCAAGCGGAAUUCCUAGUGUAGCGGUGAAAUGCGUAGAUAUUAGGAGGAACACCAGUGGCGAAGGCGGCUUGCUGGACGACAACUGACGCUGAGGCGCGAAAGCGUGGGGAGCAAACAGGAUUAGAUACCCUGGUAGUCCACGCUGUAAACGAUGAAUACUAGGUGUGGGAGGACUGACCCCUUCCGUGCCGCAGUUAACACAAUAAGUAUUCCACCUGGGGAGUACGACCGCAAGGUUGAAACUCAAAGGAAUUGACGGGGGCCC